UACGUAGGGUGCAAGCGUUGUCCGGAUUUAUUGGGCGUAAAGAGCUCGUAGGCGGCUUAGAUAGUCAGGUGUGAAACCUCCAGGCUCAACCUGGAGACGACCACUUGAUACUUCUAUGGCUAGAGUUCGGUAGGGGUGAGUGGAAUUCCUGGUGUAGACGGUGAAAUGCGCAGAUAUCAGGAGGAACACCAAUGGCGAAGGCAGCUCACUGGGCCGAUACUGACGCUGAGGAGCGAAAGCGUGGGGAGCGAACAGG
rnacentral:rRNA from 1 species